UACGUAGGGGGCAAGCGUUGUCCGGAAUCAUUGGGCGUAAAGAGCGCGUAGGCGGCCCUGUAAGUCCGCUGUGAAAGUCCAGGGCUCAACCCUGGGAUGCCGGUGGAUACUGUCGGACUAGAGUACGGAAGAGGCGAGUGGAAUUCCCGGUGUAGCGGUGAAAUGCGCAGAUAUCGGGAGGAACACCAAUUGCGAAGGCAGCUCGCUGGGACGUUACUGACGCUGAGACGCGAAAGCGUGGGGAGCAAACAGG
rnacentral:rRNA from 1 species